rnacentral:lncRNA from 1 species
UUCCAAUUGCAUUCCGAUGAUCUUAUGUGAUUUUCUUGAACAUCUUGGACUCCUUCAAUAACUCGAACACUAAUUUACCUCAUCUAUAAAAAAUUGCACCCUAUGCCUCUGACCUUUACAUCAAUGUUCAAUUGAGCCCCUGACUUUUACAAACAUACAAUUAAGCCCAUUUUGUCUACAGAAUUGCCAAUCACACUUUUAAACCUAACAAACCCUUCCUUUGGCAUUCUGUGAAAAAACCAUAUACAAUAAGUCAGGACUAUACAAAAAUAAGUCAAGACUCUAAAUACAAUCUAUUAUACUCAGUAGACCCAAUCACUGGGUCUUGCAUUCCUUGUACCUAUUUUUUGAAAUCCAUAAACUCAUAUACCAAGUGUAAAAGUUCGUAACACAGGAAAUAUAAACAUUAAAGCACUUAAUCACAAACACAUCAACAUGCUAGUUUGAGACGUGAUAUUGAUGCCAAUCAGAACACCAACCGAAACACUAACAUCACUAAACACCAAAAUUCAAAUAGAUGGAUGUGAUAUAGAAUGCAAUGCAAUACAACGCUCUCGCUUACUGCAAGCUCUCAUAAAUGUAAUGUAGUAAAUUGUUGUAUCUAUGUCUCUCCCCAAUGACCCCUAAGCAUAGCAAUGCAAAAUGCAAGUAAUGUCAAUCAGUGAAAUCAUGUGCACAUGCAAAUGCAGUGGCUCUUCCCCUAUAUGUAUGCUCUUUUCCAUGUUUUUCUCCCACUCAGUUACACUUUUCUAAACAGUCCCUUUGGCAUUCUGUAACAAAACCAUACACAAUAAUUGAGAACUAUACAAAUAUAAGUCAGGACUUUAGACACAAUCUAUUCUACCCAGUAAACCCA